ACACCACAGUGUGAUAGAAAAUUCGGUCCUUUACCAUCCCAAAUUUCACAAUGACUUCAGUAUCACCUACAGACCACUCCGAAGUCAUCGCUGAAGAGCUCGAACCUGUUAACAGAAGUGUUGCGAACGAUGCAAUUCAAGAUGAGCGGUAAUCGUGCAUCCCUGUAAAGGCUACGCAGGAGACGUGCGAAGUUAAAGGAUAACCUGGCAGAACACUACUACUGGACCAAUGGAAGAUAUAAGGACAACACCUAAAA